AUCAUCACACUUAGGAGGAACCUACACGGAAUAUCAAUAUUUUCUAUUUGUAUCAAGGACUUCAUCUUGAAAGCUUCCAGUGGGAUAUCAAUGUGUGGGGCUCUCCAGAGCACAGUAAAAAAAUGGAACCUUUACGUCUCUUCUGGUUGUGGAUUGUUGUCGGAAUGGUCUUGUCCUCUCUGGUCAUAGUACUUGUAUUCAUCAUUAUUAACAAGUGUAUAAGCUGGAAAGCUGGAAAUUAUCAACCAAGCUCAACCCCUCAAACAGACUUCUAUGCAGAUAGUCGACCAUACCACACCAGAGAUAUUGAGAGUGACGUUCCUCCUUUACCACCCAGAGACAUGUUUGAGUCCUCAGAUUCUGUGAAUCAGUACGAGCCGGUCGACCUCCCAGAGUAUCUGAAAGUGGUUGAAGAUGAGAGACCACAGACGAUGUAUGACCAACCA